rnacentral:rRNA from 1 species
UUUGAUCCUGGCUCAGGAUGAACGCUAGCUACAGGCUUAACACAUGCAAGUCGAGGGGAAACGACAUCGAAAGCUUGCUUUUGAUGGGCGUCGACCGGCGCACGGGUGAGUAACGCGUAUCCAACCUGCCCACCACUUGGGGAUAACCUUGCGAAAGUAAGACUAAUACCCAAUGACGUCUCUAGAAGACAUCUGAAAGAGAUUAAAGAUUUAUCGGUGAUGGAUGGGGAUGCGUCUGAUUAGCUUGUUGGCGGGGUAACGGCCCACCAAGGCGACGAUCAGUAGGGGUUCUGAGAGGAAGGUCCCCCACAUUGGAACUGAGACACGGUCCAAACUCCUACGGGAGGCAGCAGUGAGGAAUAUUGGUCAAUGGACGAGAGUCUGAACCAGCCAAGUAGCGUGCAGGAUGACGGCCCUAUGGGUUGUAAACUGCUUUUAUAAGGGAAUAAAGUGAGUCUCGUGAGACUUUUUGCAUGUACCUUAUGAAUAAGGACCGGCUAAUUCCGUGCCAGCAGCCGCGGUAAUACGGAAGGUCCGGGCGUUAUCCGGAUUUAUUGGGUUUAAAGGGAGCGUAGGCCGGAGAUUAAGCGUGUUGUGAAAUGUAGACGCUCAACGUCUGCACUGCAGCGCGAACUGGUUUCCUUGAGUACGCACAAAGUGGGCGGAAUUCGUGGUGUAGCGGUGAAAUGCUUAGAUAUCACGAAGAACUCCGAUUGCGAAGGCAGCUCACUGGAGCGCAACUGACGCUGAAGCUCGAAAGUGCGGGUAUCGAACAGGAUUAGAUACCCUGGUAGUCCGCACGGUAAACGAUGGAUGCCCGCUGUUGGUCUGAAUAGGUCAGCGGCCAAGCGAAAGCAUUAAGCAUCCCACCUGGGGAGUACGCCGGCAAC